UGAUGCGGAAAGAGUGUUGUGAGCAGUUCAUGCAGCUCCCUGAGCAGUCAUGAUGCCUGGCCAUCAAUACUGUCGUCCAUGCCAUUAUUUUGCAUCAUCAUCAUCAACAAUAACAACAACAAUACUCGUGGGGUGUGGGCACCUUCAAGCUACCUCAACAACAAUACCCGUCGGGCCAGGGCUCCAUCCAACCUCCAUUUGAGGCAAUAAGGAUGUUUGUCUUGCAAACACUACCGGCGGUGUGCGGUGCGUAUGUCUCACAAUAUCGCUCCACCAUCACCGACUCAUUUGGUGGCAUCGUUGGUAACUGA
rnacentral:rRNA from 1 species